rnacentral:lncRNA from 1 species
GCUGGAGUGUGGAUCAGUGGUUAAAUGUCCCUGGGACCAAUCCCUGCUGCCAACAGAAACAGCAAUAUCAGCUCACUGUGCUGGUUUAUCCUUGAACCCUCCUCCUCCCCAUGCAUCCCAUAGCAAGUGCAAGCGCCUCUUCUCUGUGGUGCCUUUGCCUGGGCAGGACCCACAACAGUUCUACCUACUCAUCCUCUGAGGGCUCCCAAUCUUAUCUUACCUUCUCUGGUGGCAAGUUAUCAUUUGCUUUUGACAUGUGUCCAUCAAGUUUCCUGGGUCCUGAUACACUCCCAGGUGAACUUCUCUGAGCUGUCUAGUAAGGAGCAGGAGACCGUCACUGCAGUAGUUUUGAAACUGGAGUUUCCUGGCUUCUGUGGGCAGAUGGGAUCAGCACAAGGGUCAGCAGCGACUGGAGCUCAGGAGUGUGGCUGCUCUUAACAGGGGCCAUGAUCAACAGCCUUGCUCAGACCCCAGAAAACUAUGCUCAUAUCCUGGACUCAGAUCACUCCUCUGUCCACAUUAAGGUUACGACCAAAUGCUCUGCUCAGACAUCUGCUAACUUCAAGUAAUAAUUCAGUUGUCCCCAUUACCAUGGCUGCACUGGGAAGGCAGUGCACCUUCUUUGUGCCAUUUGAGGACAGUCUAACUUCUUUCCCUCUGGCAUUAACAUAUGUGUAACAUCAAUGAGGUCACAGGGGUCAAGUGAUGCCAUAAGGAAAGGGAAGGCUC